UACGUAGGGUGCGAGCGUUUAAUCGGAAUUACUGGGCGUAAAGCGUGCGCAGGCGGUGCUGUAAGACCGAUGUGAAAUCCCCGGGCUUAACCUGGGAACUGCAUUGGUGACUGCAGCGCUGGAGUAUGGCAGAGGGGGGUGGAAUUCCACGUGUAGCAGUGAAAUGCGUAGAGAUGUGGAGGAACACCGAUGGCGAAGGCAGCCCCCUGGGCCAAUACUGACGCCUCAUGCACGAAAGCGUGGGGAGCAAACAGG
rnacentral:rRNA from 1 species